rnacentral:rRNA from 1 species
GGAAUCGCUAGUAAUCGCGGAUCAGAAUGCCGCGGUGAAUACGUUCCCGGGUCUUGUACACACCGCCCGUCACACCAUGGGAGUGGGAUGCAAAAGAAGUAGUUAGUCUAACCUUCGGGAGGACGAUUACCACUUUGUGUUUCAUGACUGGGGUGAAGUCGUAACAAGGUAACCCUAGGGGAACCUGGGGUUGGAUCACCUCCUU